AUUGAUUAAUGGUAAAUAAAAAA
rnacentral:snRNA from 1 species